rnacentral:misc_RNA from 1 species
GGAUUUACAGGAACAUUAAGUAUGAGUGCUCCAUGUAGUCAAUGUCCAAUAUACAUGUGGAAAUUAAGGCAUGGGAUGAACAUUAAUGUGAAGUAGUAGAUACAGUACAGAGUUUGAAGAGGCUAGGAGGUUAAAUAUUGUAGGAGCUUGUAUUGUGAAUUAUACUGUGCACUUGGAUUACCAUUAGUUUGGUUGACGAGUUUUCAUUCAUCUUUUGUAAUUGUUGUUGUAUUCAUAUGUUUUAUUGU